rnacentral:rRNA from 1 species
GAGGGGCAGCGGGGUAGUGCUUGCACUACUGCCGGCGACCGGCGCACGGGUGAGUAACACGUAUGGAACCUGCCCGCAGCAGGUGGAUAAGCGGAAGAAAUUCCGUCUAAUACCGCGUAACAACGUUGGGAGGUAUCUCCCGAUGUUUAAAGAUUUAUCGGCUGCGGAUGGCCAUGCGGCGCAUUAGCUAGUCGGCGGGGUAACGGCCCACCGAGGCGACGAUGCGUAGGGGUUCUGAGAGGAAGGUCCCCCACACUGGUACUGAGACACGGACCAGACUCCUACGGGAGGCAGCAGUGAGGAAUAUUGGUCAAUGGCCGAGAGGCUGAACCAGCCAAGUCGCGUGAGGGAAGACGGCCCUACGGGUUGUAAACCUCUUUUGUCGGGGAGCAAAGCGAACCACGUGUGGUUCAUUGAGAGUACCCGAAGAAAAAGCAUCGGCUAACUCCGUGCCAGCAGCCGCGGUAAUACGGAGGAUGCGAGCGUUAUCCGGAUUUAUUGGGUUUAAAGGGUGCGCAGGCGGAGGUGCAAGUCAGCGGUCAAAUUGCGGGGCUCAACCCCGUACUGCCGUUGAAACUGCAUCCCUUGAGUGCGCGAGAAGUAUGCGGAAUGCGUGGUGUAGCGGUGAAAUGCAUAGAUAUCACGCAGAACUCCGAUUGCGAAGGCAGCAUACCGGCGCGCAACUGACGCUCAUGCACGAAAGCGUGGGUAUCGAACAGGAUUAGAUACCCUGGUAGUCCACGCAGUAAACGAUGAACACUAACUGUUCGGCCAGAAUGAUGGCUGAGUGGUACAGCGAAAGCGUUAAGUGUUCCACCUGGGGAGUACGCCGGCAACGGUGAAACUCAAAGGAAUUGACGGGGGCCCGCACAAGCGGAGGAACAUGUGGUUUAAUUCGAUGAUACGCGAGGAACCUUACCCGGGCUCAAACGACACAGGAAUACUUUUGAAAGGAGGUAGCCCUACGGGGUCUGUGUCGAGGUGCUGCAUGGUUGUCGUCGGCUCGUGCCGUGAGGUGUCGGCUUAAGUGCCAUAACGAGCGCAACCCCUAUCGCCAGUUGCCAUCAAGUAAAGUUGGGGACUCUGGCGAGACUGCCGGCGCAAGCUGUGAGGAAGGCGGGGAUGACGUCAAAUCAGCACGGCCCUUACGUCCGGGGCGACACACGUGUUACAAUGGCAGGUACAGAGAGAAGCCAGGUGGCGACACCGAGCGGAACUCGAAAGCCUGUCUCAGUUCGGAUCGGAGUCUGCAACCCGACUCCGUGAAGCUGGAUUCGCUAGUAAUCGCGCAUCAGCCAUGGCGCGGUGAAUACGUUCCCGG